GAUGAACGCUGGCGGCGUGCCUAAUACAUGCAAGUCGAGCGAACAGACGAGGCGCUUGCUCCUCUGACGUUAGCGGCGGACGGGUGAGUAACACGUGGAUAACCUACCUAUAAGACUGGGCUAACUUCGGGAAACCGGAGCUAAUACCGGAUACUAUAUUUAACCGCAUGGUUCAAUAGUGCAAGAAGAAUUUUGUGUCACUUAUAGAUGGAUCCGCGCCUCACUAGCUAGUUGGUAAGGUAACGGCUUACAAAGGCAACGAUGCGUAGCCGGCAUGAGAGGGUGAUCGGCCAGACUGGCACUAAGACACGGCCCAGACUCCUACGGGAGGCAGCAGUAGGGAAUAUUCCAGAAUGGUGGAAAGCCUGACGGAGCAACGCCGAGUGAGUGAUGAAGGUCUUCGGAUCGUAAAACUCUGUUAUUAGGGAAGAACAAAAGUGUAAGUAAAUAUGCACGUCUUGACGGUACCUAAUCAGAAAGCCACGGCUAACUACGUG
rnacentral:rRNA from 1 species